GCCUGGGUGGUGGAAUUGGUAGACACAACGGACUUAAAAUCCGUUGGCCGUAGGCCGUGCGGGUUCGAGUCCCGCCCUAGGUACCA
rnacentral:tRNA from 1 species